rnacentral:misc_RNA from 1 species
GCAGGAUAUGGUUGCUGGGAUUGAACCUUUCCUUCGAGCAGUGGUGCGAGAUGAGGCAGAACAAACUGUUCUGCGAUUCUUUCAACCCUCCUUCAGACCAUCAUUCAAUCAGACUGAGACCUCAGAAGCAAGAGAAUUCCUGUUGCAAUUCGUUAACAGACCACCGUCUACCAUCUUUACUGGUAGCAAGGUAGAAACUGAGGAUGGUGACCCCAUCAGGAUUGAAUUGUUGAAUGCCAAUAGCAAGACCCUUGUGAAUUCCGGUCCUUUGUCUUGUAUGAAGAUUGAGAUUGUUGUCCUUGAUGGUGAUUUUGGUUUGGAUAACCGGGAAGAUUGGGGUGAUAAUGAAUUCGAUGCUAAUGUUAUCCGAGAACGAGAGCGUAGAAGGCCUCUGAUAACCGGAGGAGAUAUAAAUGUUACAUUAGAAGCAGGAGUGGGUCUGAUUAGUGAUAUAGUUUUCACCGACAAUUCUAGUUGGCAAAGG